UUGGGAGUAAAGCGCCUGUAGGUUGUUUAAUAAGUGUGUUGUUAAAGAGUAGGGCUUCACCCUAGCAAAGCAAUGGRAUMUACUAGAGUAKAGUAUGGCAGGGGUAGAUGGGACUUUCUAGYGGAGCGGUGAAAUGMUGUAKAUAUUAGACASAACWCCGGUGGGCAAAGCGCUGGACUGGACCAUWCACUGCACACUCAGAGRSGWAAGCUAGGGUAGCAAAAKGGAUUACCAUACCCCUGUAGUCCGAGCACGUAAACGUAUGGAUACUWCAUGUUGUGCAUUAUGURCAGUAGGUAGCUAACGCGUUAAGUUCCCGCCUGGAAGUCGCCGGAGGKGA
rnacentral:rRNA from 1 species